rnacentral:rRNA from 1 species
UCAAGUGAAUAAGUGCAUCAGGCGGAUGCCUUGGCGAUGAUAGGCGACGAAGGACGUGUAAGCCUGCGAAAAGCGCGGGGGAGCUGGCAAUAAAGCUAUGAUUCCGCGAUGUCCGAAUGGGGAAACCCACUGCAUUCUGUGCAGUAUCCUAAGUUGAAUACAUAGGCUUAGAGAAGCGAACCCGGAGAACUGAACCAUCUAAGUACCCGGAGGAAAAGAAAUCAACCGAGAUUCCGCAAGUAGUGGCGAGCGAACGCGGAGGAGCCUGUACGUAAUAACUGUCGAGAUAGAAGAACAAGCUGGGAAGCUUGACCAUAGCGGGUGACAGUCCCGUAUUCGAAAUCUCAACAGCGGUACUAAGCGUACGAAAAGUAGGGCGGGACACGUGAAAUCCUGUCUGAAUAUGGGGGGACCAUCCUCCAAGGCUAAAUACUCAUCAUCGACCGAUAGUGAACCAGUACCGUGAGGGAAAGGCGAAAAGAACCCCGGGAGGGGAGUGAAACAGAACCUGAAACCUGAUGCAUACAAACAGUGGGAGCGCCCUAGUGGUGUGACUGCGUACCUUUUGUAUAAUGGGUCAACGACUUACAUUCAGUAGCGAGCUUAACCGGAUAGGGGAGGCGUAGGGAAACCGAGUCUUAAUAGGGCGAUGAGUUGCUGGGUGUAGACCCGAAACCGAGUGAUCUAUCCAUGGCCAGGUUGAAGGUGCCGUAACAGGUACUGGAGGACCGAACCCACGCAUGUUGCAAAAUGCGGGGAUGAGCUGUGGGUAGGGGUGAAAGGCUAAACAAACUCGGAGAUAGCUGGUUCUCCCCGAAAACUAUUUAGGUAGUGCCUCGAGCAAGACACUGAUGGCGGUAAAGCACUGUUAUGGCUAGGGGGUUAUUGCAACUUACCAACCCAUGGCAAACUCAGAAUACCAUCAAGUGGUUCCUCGGGAGACAGACAGCGGGUGCUAACGUCCGUUGUCAAGAGGGAAACAACCCAGACCGCCGGCUAAGGUCCCAAAUGAUAGAUUAAGUGGUAAACGAAGUGGGAAGGCACAGACAGCCAGGAUGUUGGCUUAGAAGCAGCCAUCAUUUAAAGAAAGCGUAAUAGCUCACUGGUCGAGUCGUCCUGCGCGGAAGAUGUAACGGGGCUCAAAUCUAUAACCGAAGCUGCGGAUGCCGGUUUACCGGCAUGGUAGGGGAGCGUUCUGUAGGCUGAUGAAGGUGCAUUGUAAAGUGUGCUGGAGGUAUCAGAAGUGCGAAUGUUGACAUGAGUAGCGAUAAAGCGGGUGAAAAGCCCGCUCGCCGAAAGCCCAAGGUUUCCUACGCAACGUUCAUCGGCGUAGGGUAAGUCGGCCCCUAAGGCGAGGCAGAAAUGCGUAGUCGAUGGGAAACAGGUUAAUAUUCCUGUACUUGAUUCAAAUGCGAUGUGGGGACGGAGAAGGUUAGGUUGGCAAGCUGUUGGAAUAGCUUGUUUAAGCCGGUAGGUGGAAGACUUAGGCAAAUCCGGGUUUUCUUAACACCGAGAAGUGAUGACGAGUGUCUACGGACACGAAGCAACCGAUACCACGCUUCCAGGAAAAGCCACUAAGCUUCAGUUUGAAUCGAACCGUACCGCAAACCGACACAGGUGGGCAGGAUGAGAAUUCUAAGGCGCUUGAGAGAACUCGGGAGAAGGAACUCGGCAAAUUGAUACCGUAACUUCGGGAGAAGGUAUGCCCUCUAAGGUUAAGGACUUGCUCCGUAAGCCCCGGAGGGUCGCAGAGAAUAGGUGGCUGCGACUGUUUAUUAAAAACACAGCACUCUGCCAACACGAAAGUGGACGUAUAGGGUGUGACGCCUGCCCGGUGCCGGAAGGUUAAUUGAAGAUGUGCAAGCAUCGGAUCGAAGCCCCGGUAAACGGCGGCCGUAACUAUAACGGUCCUAAGGUAGCGAAAUUCCUUGUCGGGUAAGUUCCGACCCGCACGAAUGGCGUAACGAUGGCCACACUGUCUCCUCCCGAGACUCAGCGAAGUUGAAGUGGUUGUGAAGAUGCAAUCUACCCGCUGCUAGACGGAAAGACCCCGUGAACCUUUACUGUAGCUUUGCAUUGGACUUUGAAGUCACUUGUGUAGGAUAGGUGGGAGGCUUGGAAGCAGAGACGCCAGUCUCUGUGGAGUCGUCCUUGAAAUACCACCCUGGUGUCUUUGAGGUUCUAACCCAGACCCGUCAUCCGGGUCGGGGACCGUGCAUGGUAGGCAGUUUGACUGGGGCGGUCUCCUCCCAAAGCGUAACGGAGGAGUUCGAAGGUUACCUAGGUCCGGUCGGAAAUCGGACUGAUAGUGCAAUGGCAAAAGGUAGCUUAACUGCGAGACCGACAAGUCGGGCAGGUGCGAAAGCAGGACAUAGUGAUCCGGUGGUUCUGUAUGGAAGGGCCAUCGCUCAACGGAUAAAAGGUACUCCGGGGAUAACAGGCUGAUUCCGCCCAAGAGUUCAUAUCGACGGCGGAGUUUGGCACCUCGAUGUCGGCUCAUCACAUCCUGGGGCUGUAGUCGGUCCCAAGGGUAUGGCUGUUCGCCAUUUAAAGUGGUACGUGAGCUGGGUUUAAAACGUCGUGAGACAGUUUGGUCCCUAUCUGCAGUGGGCGUUGGAAGUUUGACGGGGGCUGCUCCUAGUACGAGAGGACCGGAGUGGACGAACCUCUGGUGUACCGGUUGUAACGCCAGUUGUAUAGCCGGGUAGCUAAGUUCGGAAGAGAUAAGCGCUGAAAGCAUCUAAGCGCGAAACUCGCCUGAAGAUGAGACUUCCCUUGCGGUUUAACCGCACUAAAGGGUCGUUCGAGACCAGGACGUUGAUAGGUGGGGUGUGGAAGCGCGGUAACGCGUGAAGCUAACCCAUACUAAUUGCCCGUGAGGCUUGACUCU